ACACGCGUGUUAUUUCCCUCAUCCAGUUUGCAUACCCACUCCCUUCAUCUCGCAUGCCCUAACCUGCUCUGAUGCUGACAAAGCAAUCUGCCACCGACGUCGGCCAAGCAGUCGUAUGGACAUACCUACUCUCAUCCCCCAAGAUUUCUGAUGGCCUGAGUUAUUUUCCAUUGUCUCUGCCCCAGACCGUCUACCCUUCAGUUCUCCAGAAUUUUCAGAAUCUCUUUAGCCACAACCAAGCAGUGAUUCAAAGGUCAUUGCAACCCCCCAAACAUUGAAUUGACGAAGUCCUCCACUCACAACUUCCUUCAUAUGGUGCCUUUCUGUUAGGAUGAUACUUAAGAGGGCUGUUAGCUUAAGCAAUAAUAAUAGGCCACAUCUCAGCAUGUGUCUCAUUCUCUAAGAAACGCUGCAAGGCCAAUGCUUUGAACAUAAAAAAGAAAGAGUUUGAGCAUAUAGGGGGUCACGUCCUUUCCUCAAACACAUGGAAGCUGCUAAACAGUGCAGGAGAAGCUGCGUAAUUGUUGAAGCUGCCAUUGUGGUUUUUGUGAUUAUUUGAGGAGGUGGAAGGAUUUGGUUUGUGGUUUUGGACAGAGGACCAUUUGAGGUAAGAACCUCUUCUUCUCAUUACACUCAGUUCUAUUUGUUUUCUUAUUAACAGAUAUGGUAGUUGUCAAUGUCAUUGUGGUGUUGUUUGUUUAAAGGUAUUAAAAUGACAUACGUGUUUUGUAUUAUGUUGAGAAGUUAUGCAACCCUUGUUGGUUAAGGUGUGGAUUAUACUUUGGAUUUUAUGAUUUAUGUUUUCUAAUGGGUUUGUGCUAUGCAGGAUAUUAGUCUUUACAUUGGUUUCUCGGAAUUGUUUUCCUUCAUUUGUGGUUUCUCGGAAUUGUUUUCCUUCAUUUGUGGUAUUUGUUAUUAUCACAAAGGAAGAUGAUUGAUGAGUUUGAGAAGAUCAAGCAACAAUUAGCAGUGUUUGGGAAUUCCAUGAUAUUAGACUACAGUCCCUAUCCCACAGGUGUUAAAGAUCAUGACUACAAAACUUGGAAUUACAUAAGGCAACUACAUGCAUUUUUUUUUAGUCGAAACCUAGUCUUAGAGUGGGGAAAUAAUUAUACAGAACUUGGGUUUACCAAGGGCAAGAAUAUAUGGAGCUUGGCCUCCAGUCUUUGAGACUCUUCACUCGUUUAUAUCUACUAUUUUUGGAUAUGUUAUGUGUACUUGACUAACUAGUAUGCUCUUGUGUAAUUUUUAAUGAGAGAAACUUUUAUUCAUGUCA